rnacentral:rRNA from 1 species
GAUGAACGCUGGCGGCGUGCCUAAUACAUGCAAGUCGAGCGAACAGACGAGUAGCUUGCUCCUCUGACGUUAGCGGCGGACGGGUGAGUAACACGUGGAUAACCUACCUAUAAUACUGGGAUAACUUCGGGAAACCGGAGCUAAUACCGGAUAAUAUAUUGAACCGCAUGGUUCAAUAGUGAAAGACGGUUUUGCUGUCACUUAUAGAUGGUUCCGCGCCGCAUUAGCUAGUUGGUAAGGUAACGGCUUACCAAGGCAACGAUGCGUAGCCGACCUGAGAGGAUGAUCGGCCACACUGGAACUGAGACACGGUCCAGACUCCUACGGGAGGCAGCAGUAGGGAAUCUUCCGCAAUGGGCGAAAGCCUGACGGAGCAACGCCGCGUGAGUGAUGAAGGUCUUCGGAUCGUAAAACUCUGUUAUUAGGGAAGAACAAAUGUGUAAGUAAAUAUGCACGUCUUGACGGUACCUAAUCAGAAAGCAACGGCUAACUACGUG